GGGUCAGUAGGUUGGUCGUGCCACCGGUACGUACUGGUCUCACUGAUUCCUCCUUCCUGAAGAACCGUAAUGCCAUUAAUUUGGUGUUGCGGGGAAACAGGACUGUUACUUUGAAAAAAUUAGAGUGUUUAAAGCAAGCUAACGCUUGAAUGCAUCAGCAUGGAAUAAUGAAAUAGGACGAUCGAUCCUAUUUUGUUGGUUUCUAGGAUUGACGUA
rnacentral:rRNA from 1 species